AACUAAUGAUGUCUAAUUAUAAGAGUAGUGGACAGAAGUGAUUUCUGAUACUGCAUUACUGAGGUU